rnacentral:rRNA from 1 species
GGGUUGUGAGGUUAAGCGACUAAGCGUACACGGUGGAUGCCCUGGCAGUCAGAGGCGAUGAAGGGCGUGCUAAUCUGCGAUAAGCGCCGGUAAGGUGAUAUGAACCGUUAUAACCGGCGAUACCCGAAUGGGGAAACCCAGUGUGACUCGUCACACUAUCAUUAACUGAAUCCAUAGGUUAAUGAGGCGAACCGGGGGAACUGAAACAUCUAAGUACCCCGAGGAAAAGAAAUCAACCGAGAUUCCCCCAGUAGCGGCGAGCGAACGGGGAGGAGCCCAGAGCCUGAAUCAGCAUGUGUGUUAGUGGAAGCGUCUGGAAAGGCGCGCGAUACAGGGUGACAGCCCCGUACACAAAAGCGCAUGUGCUGUGAGCUCGAUGAGUAGGGCGGGACACGUGGUAUCCUGUCUGAAUAUGGGGGGACCAUCCUCCAAGGCUAAAUACUCCUGACUGACCGAUAGUGAACCAGUACCGUGAGGGAAAGGCGAAAAGAACCCCGGCGAGGGGAGUGAAAAAGAACCUGAAACCGUGUACGUACAAGCAGUGGGAGCCCCACCACCAAAGCAUUCUCUGGUGUUGAAGGCCCUGCAAAGCAGCAUCGCGGUGGCGGAGCGUCGUUUGCGACGCCCAACACACAAAACAAGCGGUGAAUGCUUUGGGGUGGGGUGACUGCGUACCUUUUGUAUAAUGGGUCAGCGACUUAUAUUCUGUAGCAAGGUUAACCGAAUAGGGGAGCCGGAGGGAAACCGAGUCUUAAUUGGGCGUUAAGUUGCAGGGUAUAGACCCGAAACCCGGUGAUCUAGCCAUGGGCAGGUUGAAGGUUGGGUAACACUAACUGGAGGACCGAACCGACUAAUGUUGAAAAAUUAGCGGAUGACCUGUGGCUGGGGGUGAAAGGCCAAUCAAACCGGGAGAUAGCUGGUUCUCCCCGAAAGCUAUUUAGGUAGCGCCUCGUGAAUUCAUCUCCGGGGGUAGAGCACUGUUUCGGCUAGGGGGCCAUCCCGGCUUACCAACCCGAUGCAAACUGCGAAUACCGGAGAAUGUUAUCACGGGAGACACACGGCGGGUGCUAACGUCCGUCGUGAAGAGGGAAACAACCCAGACCGCCAGCUAAGGUCCCAAAGUCAUGGUUAAGUGGGAAACGAUGUGGGAAGGCCCAGACAGCCAGGAUGUUGGCUUAGAAGCAGCCAUCAUUUAAAGAAAGCGUAAUAGCUCACUGGUCGAGUCGGCCUGCGCGGAAGAUGUAACGGGGCUAAACCAUGCACCGAAGCUGCGGCAGCGAACGUAUCACCCAAGACAACUUUACGGAGUUGACGAUUGACGGAGCGAAGCGACGUCAAAGCGUUCAUUAAAGUCGAGUUGGCUUAGGGAUACGUUCGUUGGGUAGGGGAGCGUUCUGUAAGCCUGUGAAGGUGUGUCGUGAGGCAUGCUGGAGGUAUCAGAAGUGCGAAUGCUGACAUAAGUAACGAUAAAGCGGGUGAAAAGCCCGCUCGCCGGAAGACCAAGGGUUCCUGUCCAACGUUAAUCGGGGCAGGGUGAGUCGACCCCUAAGGCGAGGCCGAAAGGCGUAGUCGAUGGGAAACGGGUUAAUAUUCCCGUACUUGGUGUUACUGCGAAGGGGGGACGGAGAAGGCUAUGUUGGCCGGGCGACGGUUGUCCCGGUUUAAGCGUGUAGGUGUGUGUUCCAGGUAAAUCCGGUUCACUUUAACACUGAGGCGUGACGACGAGGCACUACGGUGCUGAAGCAACAAAUGCCCUGCUUCCAGGAAAAGCCUCUAAGCAUCAGGUAACACGAAA